rnacentral:lncRNA from 1 species
UGAUUGCGAAGAUUGGGGAAACUUUAGGAGCCUUAUUGGAAGAAGCGGGUCACUAAGGGACCCAAGAACCUGAAAGUCCCCCAGACAUGCCCACUGAAUCCCCACAUCAGCCAAUAUCUCCCCCCCUGCCCUCCCCGUGGCAUAAAUAGUACAAGCCACUAUCACCUCAUUUCACUUACUGGUCUCAUUGCUUCCAUAUUUAUCUCUUUCUAACACAUUUCCCAUGCAGCAGUCAAAAGGGAUCUUGCUAAAAUGAGGCUCGUCAUUUUCUCUCAGGCGGCCAUUUGCAGCCAGGGGUUCCUCUCUUCCUUAAAAGCCCCCAUGGGUGUCUUGGUGCUUUCAGAAUUAAAGGUUACUUUCCUGCCCCUCUACCCUGACCCAGUGUCCUUUUCCUGGGACUCAGCCACACCCCAGCUAUGUCAGCGCAUGUCUGCUUCGUGGCAUUGCUCUCUCCGACGCCUUCACCUGCUGCCUACUUC